AAAGAGGGGAAAAGGAAGGGGGAGGAACACUUCCUAACUGUAUACCUCGGCACAGUGAGAAUCACUUGUGAUUCUCACUGUGCCGAGGUAUACAGUUAGGAAGUGUUCCUCCCCCUUCCUUUUCCCCUCUUUCC